CAGCCGCCGCGGUAAUACGAAGGGGGCUAGCGUUGUUCGGAUUUACUGGGCGUAAAGCGCACGUAGGCGGAUCGUUAAGUCGGGGGUGAAAUCCUGGAGCUCAACUCCAGAACUGCCUUCGAUACUGGCGAUCUUGAGUCCGGAAGAGGUGAGUGGAACUCCUAGUGUAGAGGUGGAAUUCGUAGAUAUUAGGAAGAACACCAGUGGCGAAGGCGGCUCACUGGUCCGGUACUGACGCUGAGGUGCGAAAGCGUGGGGAGCAAACAGGAUUAGAUACCCCUGUAGUCCCUGUCUCUUAUAU
rnacentral:rRNA from 1 species